rnacentral:tRNA from 1 species
GCCCGGGUAGCUCAGUUGGUAGAGCGCAUCCUUGGUAAGGAUGAGGUCACGGGUUCAAUUCCCGUCUCGGGCUCCA